UCGUGAGAUGUUGGGUUAAGUCCCGCAACGAGCGCAACCCCUAUCAUUUGUUGCCAGCACGUAAAGGUGGGAGCUCAAGUGAGACUGCCGCGGACAACGCGGAGGAAGGUGGGGAUGACGUCAAGUCAUCAUGCCCCUUACGUCCUGGGCUACACACGUACUACAAUGGGACACACAGAGGGAAGCGAAGGAGUGAUCUGGAGCGGACCCCAAAAAAUGUCUCCCAGUUCGGAUUGCAGGCUGCAACCCGCCUGCAUGAAGUCGGAAUCGCUAGUAAUCGCAGGUCAGCAUACUGCGGUGAAUACGUUCCCGGGCCUUGUACACACCGCCCGUCACACCACGAAAGUCAUUCACACCCGAAGCCGGCUAAGGGCCGCAAGGCACCGACCGUCUAAGGUGGGGGCGAU
rnacentral:rRNA from 1 species